UACGGAGGGUGCAAGCGUUAUCCGGAUUCACUGGGUUUAAAGGGUGCGUAGGUGGGCAGGUAAGUCAGUGGUGAAAUCUCCGGGCUUAACCCGGAAACUGCCAUUGAUACUAUCUGUCUUGAAUACCGUGGAGGUGAGCGGAAUAUGUCAUGUAGCGGUGAAAUGCUUAGAUAUGACAUAGAACACCAAUUGCGAAGGCACUCACUACACGAA
rnacentral:rRNA from 1 species